UGUAGUGUGGCAUCACGGUUUGGGUGUUGGACUACAACUCUGGAGACCAGGGUUCAAUUCCCUGCUGGGCCA